AAGGAACAUUCCCGGGAAAAUCUAGAGUAAGAGAAUUGCUGGCAGAAAGAAUAACUGCUGGGGUCCAGGCAUGGCAGAGCUUGAAUAUUUAUAAAAUAAGCCAAAUUAUGAACAACUUAAUGGAAUUAUUUUACUAUUAACAACUAAUGGUUAUGCCUGUAUUUCUAAUUAGCUUGCUUUUUAUCUCUCACUGUCUGUCAUUAAAUCUACCUGUUCACUCAAACCAAGACCGAGUCUCAUCUAUAAAGUCUUCACAGCCAUGUCUUCCAUGGCAGGCUGUCUCCCAAGUUCUCAGAGUGCAUCUAACAGCCCAUUGUGUACAAUGUAAACAGUUUCUGUGGUAUUGGUAUCUGAUACUUGUACUAUUUAGCAUUUCAAAAGAAUUUUGUAUAUCUUGUUUUUUAAGUGCAAAAUUAUGGUCAUUAAACAUAUCCACAUUAUUUUGAUACUAUUGGCAUAAUUUUGGUGGUGUUUAUUGUUAUUGGUGAAUAUUCUUGGUGUUUUACUAUUUCUUUUUUUUUUUUUGGCUGUGCCUAUGGCAUGCAGAAGAUCCUGGGCAAGGGAUCAAACAUGUGCCACAGCAGUGACACCACCAAAUCCUUAACUAUUAGACUACCAUGAAAAUCCUAUUUAGCAUUUUAAAUAAUGUGGAUAUCUUUGCUUUAUUAUUAGAUUAUAAAUUCUUUAAUAAAAAUAAUUCUUUAAAAGGUUUCAAACAUUCAAUGGCUGAAUAUUAGAGUUUAAUGGAACAUAAAAGCCAUCUUUGUGAACCUCGUUCUCCGGAACAGAAAAAGCUGAAAAUUAAAUACGGCAUACGGGGUUGUAUAAAAUUUAAGAAGACAUGCAGUGAUUGAGAGUAGAGUUCAUAUUUGAGUUUGAAGCUUUUUAGCAAUACAAUAAUGGAUCAUAUAGUAUUCUGCUAAUUCAGUCAGCAACUGUGGUCAGAAAAUGCCAAAAUAAAAUGAUACCUUAAGCUGUCCUACAAAAAUAGUCCAUAUCAGCAUGAUUACCAGUUAUGGUGACUACAUGGGGAAAAAGAGAGGCUGAUGCUCAGAUCCCAAGACUGUCCGUGAAUCCCUGACCCACAUCUUGCAGCAUCUUCAGCUACUUCUAAAAUGACCCUUAGGACAUAUGCGCACAGAGCAGUUCAGACAAUGUCUCUUAAUUUCUGACCAAGUUUUGAUACCACCUCCAGUGUGGUUUCCAGGUAAACUUUACCGGACCACCUUUCCCGUCGUGGCUCAGCGGUUAACGAAUCCGAUGGGGAACCAUGGGGUUGCGGGUUGGAUCCCUGGCCUUGCUCAGUGGGUUAAGGAUCCAGUGUUGCCGUGGGCUGUGGUGUAGGUUGCAGACGCAGCUCGGAUUCUGCGUUGCUGUGGCGUAGGCCGGUGGCUACAGCUCCGAUUAGACCCCUAGCCUGGGAACCUCCAUAUGCCGUGGGAUUGGUCCUAGAAAAGGCAAAAAGACAAAAG
rnacentral:lncRNA from 1 species